AAAUAGAAUGAAUUAUUAGAAGCUAAAACAAUAAAUUAGGAAAUAUGAUAUAGAGACAUUUAAACUUAAUAAGAUAUUAAUUAAACACAAAAUAAAUAAAGCGGUUAUUACAUUUUUGAAGGUAACAGGAUUAUAUGUAAGACUUUAGAUUGGGGAGCGGUUAACUGAGUAACUGUUACACAUGGAAUUAGUUUGGAACUUUAAAAGGAAGCAUAAUAAUAAUAGGCUUCUAAAGAAUAAGUCACAGUUAAAAAUUCCAGAUAUUUU